AUGAACGCUGGCGGCGUGCCUAAUACAUGCAAGUCGAGCGAACAGACGAGGAGCUUGCUCCUCUGACGUUAGCGGCGGACGGGUGAGUAACACGUGGAUAACCUACCUAUAAGACUGGGAUAACUUCGGGAAACCGGAGCUAAUACCGGAUAAUAUAUUGAACCGCAUGGUCCAAUAGUGAAAGACGGUUUUGCUGUCACUUAUAGAUGGAUCCGCGCCGCAUUAGCUAGUUGGUAAGGUAACGGCUUACCAAGGCAACGAUGCGUAGCCGACCUGAGAGGGUGAUCGGCCACACUGGAACUGAGACACGGUCCAGACUCCUACGGGAGGCAGCAGUAGGGAAUCUUCCGCAAUGGGCGAAAGCCUGACGGAGCAACGCCGCGUGAGUGAUGAAGGUCUUCGGAUCGUAAAACUCUGUUAUUAGGGAAGAACAAAUGUGUAAGUAACUAUGCACGUCUUGACGGUACCUAAUCAGAAAGCCACGGCUAACUACGUG
rnacentral:rRNA from 1 species